rnacentral:rRNA from 1 species
GACAGAGGGGGCAAGCGUUGCUCGGAAUUACUGGGCGUAAAGGGCGCGUAGGCGGGAUGGCAAGUCGGUCGUGAAAUCCUUCGGCUCAACCGAAGAACGUCGAUCGAUACUGCUGUUCUUGAGGGUUGCAGAGGAGACUGGAAUUCCCGGUGUAGCGGUGAAAUGCGUAGAUAUUGGGAGGAACACCAGUGGCGAAGGCGGCUCACUGGACCGGUUCUGACGCUGAUGCGCGAAAGCGUGGGGAGCAAACGGG